GACGAACGCUGGCGGCGUGCUUAACACAUGCAAGUGGAGCGACGAACCGGGGCUUGCCCCGGGGCAGAGCCGCGAACGGGUGAGUAACACGUGGGUAACCUGCCUCAAUGAUUGGGACAACCCGGGGAAACUCGGGCUAAUACCAAAUGUGUUCACUCCUUCUAAGGGGAGUGAGGAAAGGAAGCUUCGGCCUCCGCAUUGAGAUGGGCCCGCGGCCCAUUAGCUUGUUGGUGAGGUAACGGCUCACCAAGGCUUCGAUGGGUAGCUGGUCUGAGAGGACGAUCAGCCACACUGGGACUGAGACACGGCCCAGACUCCUACGGGAGGCAGCAGUGGGGAAUCUUGCACAAUGCGCGAAAGCGUGAUGCAGCAACGCCGCGUGGGGGAAGACGGCCUUCGGGUUGUAAACCCCGUUUCCAGUUGGGACGAAGC
rnacentral:rRNA from 1 species